rnacentral:rRNA from 1 species
GAUGAACGCUGGCGGCGUGCCUAAUACAUGCAAGUCGAGCGGACAGACGAGGAGCUUGCUCCUCUGACGUUAGCGGCGGACGGGUGAGUAACACGUGGAUAACCUACCUAUAAGACUGGGAUAACUUCGGGAAACCGGAGCUAAUACCGGAUAAUAUAUUGAACCGCAUGGUUCAAUAGUGAAAGACGGUUUUGCUGUCACUUAUAGAUGGAUCCGCGCCGCAUUAGCUAGUUGGUAAGGUAACGGCUUACCAAGGCGACGAUGCGUAGCCGACCUGAGAGGGUGAUCGGCCACACUGGAACUGAGACACGGUCCAGACUCCUACGGGAGGCAGCAGUAGGGAAUCUUCCGCAAAGGGCGAAAGCCUGACGGAGCAACGCCGCGUGAGUGAUGAAGGUCUUCGGAUCGUAAAACUCUGUUAUUAGGGAAGAACAAAUGUGUAAGUAACUAUGCACGUCUUGACGGUACCUAAUCAGAAAGCCACGGCUAACUACGUG